GAUUCUUGUUGAUCCUGCAGAGUCAUAUGCCUUGUCUCAGAAUUAAGGCAUGCAUGUCUAGUAUAGCAUUUAUACAGGUGAAACUGCGAUGCUCAUUAAAUCAGUAUCGUUUAUUUGAUAGUUCCUUUACUACAUGGUAUAACUGUGGUAAUUCUAGAGCUAAUACAUGCUUAAAAUCUCGACCCUUUGGAAGAGAUGUAUUUAUUAGAUAAAAAAUCAAUGUCUUCGGACUCUUUGAUGAUUCAUAAUAACUUUUCGAAUCGCAUGGCCUUGUGCUGGCGAUGGUUCAUUCAAAUUUUUGCCCUAUCAACUUUCGAUGGUAAGGUAGUGGCCUACCAUGGUUUCAACGGGUAACGGGGAAUAAGGGUUCGAUUCCGGAGAGGGAGCCUGAGAAACGGCUACCACAUCCAAGGAAGGCAGCAGGCGCGCAAAUUACCCAAUCCUAAUUCAGGGAGGUAGUGACAAUAAAUAACGAUACAGGGCCCAUUCGGGUCUUGUAAUUGGAAUGAGUACAAUGUAAAUACCUUAACGAGGAACAAUUGGAGGGCAAGUCUGGU
rnacentral:rRNA from 1 species